rnacentral:lncRNA from 1 species
CAGCUCCUGAAUUCGUUGAUUUUUUGGAGGGUUUUUCGUGUCUCUAUGUAGGCAACAUGAAGUGUACUUACACAAAACUAGAUGGUGUUGCCAACUAUACACCUAGGCUAUAUGGUAUAAGCUAUUCCUUCUAGGCUACAAGCAUGUGCAGCAAGUUACUGUACUGAAUACUGUGGGCAGAUGGAACACAAUGGUAAGUAUUUGUGUAUCAAAACUUAUCUAAACAUAGAAAAGUAAAAUAUAGCAGUAUAAUAUCAUGGAACCACCAUUGUAUAUGUGGUUUGUCAUUAACCAAAAUGUCCUUAUGCAAUUCUCAUCACACACACACACUAAUGGUAACUAUGUGAGGGAAUGGCUUUUU